rnacentral:sRNA from 1 species
CAAUAAUCCACCACUUACCUAAUGGUUGAAGUGGGGGCUUGAAAAGCCCUUAUUGACUACCCUAAGUCUUUCGCAGACUACGUUGGAUUGGUCAUGACACCUUCGAAUGCUCUUCAAGUUCGCUGCUCUGU